ACCACUGGAGAUGCUUAUAUGGUGUCCAGCAGCCUGCCUGUCCACAGUGGGAUGAACCACACCAAAGAAAUAGCUAUUAUGUCUGUGAAAUUCCCGAGUGCUGUGAUUACUUUGGAGAUCAGCCCUGCACCCAAAGAGGAGCAAUAACUGCAUUAUUGGCCUUCCCACUGGUAAACAUCCCGAGUUUGGCUGACUGUGAGGGGGUGUGGAGGUCCAAGCAUAAUGAAAGGACCUAGCAUUCUUCAGUCUUAAGAGCAUCUCCAAAUCACAAUUAAUUAUCCUUCUCAACAUCCUACCAGGUUGAUAAAAUCAACUCUUGGGUAAAAUGUCAGCUUUGCAAAUACCCUCAACAAAGAAAAGCAGAGAACUGAAAUAACCACCCUGAAAACAUGUACCCCCUGCUCACAGCAGGCACGGGGAAGCUUGCAUUGUUAUGGCAGAUAAUUGCUCAAGGCCUGAGUAUGGGAGAAUCUUGUUCCACAUUCUGUCAUUCAGUAUUCCUAAAUUAAAAAUGCUGGCAAAUUCCUUUCGACAGUUAGGAUUUUCUGAUUUGUACAAAAUACAAGUAUGUGUGUAAUUUCUUGAUAGAUAAAUGGUGAAAAGGUAAAAGUUAGUUAUACUGGUUUUAACCCAGUUAGUUAUACUGGUUCUUUCUCUUGGAACAAAAGCUUUUUUUGUACUAAUGUGAGUAACAAGUUCAAGGGAAAAGCCAGGAGCAGCUUGGGCUGAAAUGCCCUUUUCUUUUCAAAAUUAUAGAGAUACGAUAUGCUGUAUUACAUAGCAGAGAGUCACUGUACUCUUAAUGAAUUUUGCAUUUGUUCUCAAGAUAAGGGAAUGAAAUAGAAGAGAAAAAAAUAAUUUGUCUUGAAAUGCGAUAUAAAGUAUAAACCAUUUCUACACACAAUCUUAUCAGUCCAUUUCGUGGCCACUUGACACUCUCAGAUGCUCUUAAUAUAUUGUAUACCAAAGGCAGUACUGCUGACAUUGAAUUCUGCCACUGCCAAAUUGCAUAUUCAUUAUUGUUCAUAGUCAUGUGAGGUCGAGUUCGGUCAUUGCACACAAAGAACCUUUGUCUGGAUCUUUACUCCCUCCUUGCACAGUUUUUGGUUUCCUAACUUUUGUAGCAUUCUCUGGGCUGAAAGUUUCUUUUUAAAGAGGAUGCUGUGUACUCUUUUGUAAACAUGUCUCCAUUACUAAAAGUGACAUCAUGGGAAUCGCUGGACAUGAGCUUGGGGAACAGAGCCAGAGCUGAGGCAACGCAAAAAGAAGUCCCCUUGUCCCUUCUCCCCCCUCCUCCCCAUAGCACUGUCUAGCAAACAGGUACUUUGUUGAACUCUGUUGGAAGCUUCAUGAGGAAUUUAAAAAUAGGAAGGACUAAGAAAAAAAGGGUCCUGCCAGCUCUUUCUCAUCUGCAGGCUGCUAUGCACAAAUGUGGUCAGAAGCUUAUUCACACAAAGCCAGGGUUCUGCUCAUUUGCCAUCAUAUGCAAAUUACCUCCCUGGACUCACUGGCACGGUUAACACUUCGGUUUAAGAAGUUUAAAAAGAUGGAUUGCAAAACUCAGGCAUGCUCCCACUCCUACUGAGAUCAGUGGCAAGCCUCCCAUUGACUUCAAUGGAAGCAGGAUAGAGUCUCCAUUUUCUGGAAGCGAAACCCAGCGGUAUUUGAGCUUUUUGGAGCACAUGCAGCUCUGAAAGUCUGUUCCUUUGAGGCACUCCAAAAUUUUUCCCAUUUGCUUGAUUCCAUGGCAACACAACAUCACCACCAAGCUUUCAGUACUGAAAUGAGAUUUUACUACUAAGCCUGAGGAUUUAUACAAGUGUAAAAAGAUCUUGCUAAGCUGCAAUUUCCAUUAGACUAAUUCAGGAUCCUUUUCAAAUAAGUGGCAAAAUUAUCUCUGGAUUUAUUUUACAAUACGACAAGAAUUUUCUAAGGUUAGAAAAACAAGAAAACUGCUUUACAAUCAUAAUGGAAACCUUUUUUUAUU